CGGUUGAGCCUUGAUUAUGGAUUGAUUUUUCUGAAGGGAGGAUUCAUGAAACUGGACUCUGACUUUCUGGCAAUCGUAUAAUCUAUAAACUAAGUUUCUUUUCGGGGAGCUGUUCAUAAAAUUAGCUACAACUUUGUUGCUUGGAAGCCAUGGGAGUAGCAGCUGCAGAUAAUCAUGAUGAGGUUCCACUAUUACAAACUCAACCAGCGCUAGCAGAGCCUCUUUUCAAGAGAACCGAAUUGAAAGGGGACAAUUUGUAACGCUCAUUUGGGGCUUUCGGACAUGUUCUCUCUCUCUCUCUCUCUCUCUUCCCAUGAACAGCAAAUGGUAAUUGGAUUGAAGUCAUGAUUUGAUAUUUCCGUGAUAGUUUAUGCAGAGAUUUUUACAGUGAAAUAUGAA